UACAGAGGGGGCAAGCGUUGUUCGGAAUUACUGGGCGUAAAGGGCGCGUAGGCGGCCUUCUAAGUCGAACGUGAAAUCCCCGGGCUCAACCCGGGAACUGCGUCCGAUACUGGAAGGCUUGAAUCCGGGAGAGGGAUGCGGAAUUCCGAGUGUAGAGGUGAAAUUCGUAGAUAUUCGGAAGAACACCAGUGGCGAAGGCGACUCACUGGACAUGUAUUGACGCUGAGGUGCGAAAGCGUGGGGAGCAAACAGG
rnacentral:rRNA from 1 species